AUGCGCCCGGCGAGGGUUUUUUGUACUGUGCCUCAGCAUUCUCUCUCUCCCUGCUCCCUUCGUCUCCGUCCAGCGCGCUCGCUCUCGCCUCCGCACAACUUUCCCUCGCGCGUCUCACCGGCAACCAUGGCCAAGGAGAAGACGGCGGCGCUGGAACGCGCGAAGAAGGCGUCGGCGACGGAGAAGGCGAAGGGGAGAUCCACCAGCCGCGGCGGGUCUUCGUCCAGAUCCUGCCUGCCGAAGGGCUGGGUCCAAGGAGAUUGGAUCCAGUCGACCAUCACAGAGAAAGACCUCCUCGACAUGGCCAACGAGGGCUUGAUCUCCCAUGGAGCUGCGAGACUCCCGGGGAAGGAGUGGCAACCCCAGCUAGAAGAGGGUGAGUGCGUGCUCUUGGCCACCCAUGUUGAUCGUGGAUUUUCUUUGCCACCGAGUAUUUUCUUCCGUGGUUUCUUGAACUUCUUUGGAGCGCAGCUCCACCACUUUACCCCAAAUUCUAUCGCCUAUCUUGCCGCGUUCGUGUCCAUGUGUGAGGGUUUCCUGGGCUGUCGACCGCACUGGGGCUUGUUCAAGCAUAUAUUCACGUGUCGCUCUCAGACCGUGAAGAAGGCGAGCCGAGGCGACGAAAGAACCUGA
rnacentral:rRNA from 1 species